rnacentral:rRNA from 1 species
GACGAACGCUGGCGGCGUGCUUAACACAUGCAAGUCGAACGGAAAGGCCCUGCUUUUGUGGGGUGCUCGAGUGGCGAACGGGUGAGUAACACGUGAGUAACCUGCCCUUGACUUUCGGAUAACUUCAGGAAACUGGGGCUAAUACAGGAUAGGAGCUCCUGCUGCAUGGUGGGGGUUGGAAAGUUUCGGCGGUGGGGGAUGGACUCGCGGCUUAUCGGCUUGUUGGUGGGGUAGUGGCUUACCAAGGCGUUGACGGGUAGCCGGCCUGAGAGGGUGACCGGCGACAUGGGGACUGAGAGACGGAGCAGUCGCCAACGGGAGGCAGCAGGCGGGAAUAUUGCACAAUGGGCGGAAGUCUGAGGCAGAGACGCUGCGUGCGGGAUGACGGCCUUUGGGUUGUAAACCGCUUUCGCCUGUGACGAAGCGUGAGUGACGGUAAUGAGUAAAGAAGCACCGGCUAACUACGUG